rnacentral:rRNA from 1 species
UCGAGAAUCUUCGGCAAUGGGGGAGACCCUGACCGAGCGACGCCGCGUGCGAGAUGAAGGCCUUCGGGUUGUAAAUCGCUGUCAGAGGGGAGGAAAUGCCGGUGGGUUCUCCCACCGGUUUGACCUAUCCUCAGAGGAAGGACGGGCUAAGUUCGUGCCAGCAGCCGCGGUAAGACGAACCGUCCAAACGUUAUUCGGAAUCACUGGGCUUAAAGGGUGCGUAGGCGGUCCGGCAAGUUGGGUGAAAGCCCUCGGCUCAACCGAGGAACUGCGCCCAAAACUGCCGGGCUUGAGGGAGACAUAGGUGAGCGGAACUUAGGGUGGAGCGGUGAAAUGCGUUGAGAUCCUAAGGAACACCAGUAGCGAAAGCGGCUCACUGGGUCUCUUCUGACGCUGAGUGCACGAAAGCCAGGGGAGCGAAGAG